CCAGUAUUUUUAAUGGUGGGUGCUUUCGCCAAAAGAUUCUUUGGCAACUGUAUCAACUGAGCCUGAGCCGAAGAAGAUUGCUGCAUUAGAUGAAGGAGAUUUGAAGUGGAUCGAACAGACUGAGAAAUGUGGUCGGCCACCAUGGCUUUGGCCGUUCCGUCUCUGUUGCUUCGACCUGAUGCGGAAGCGGUCGCCAUUGUUGG
rnacentral:misc_RNA from 1 species